rnacentral:misc_RNA from 3 species
AUGGAGUUUAAAUACUUCUAAGUAUUAAGGUUUUAGUGAUGUGUUAUGUUUAGUUUUGAGAGGUUAGUUCUCUCAGAUAGUAAGAAAAUCAAUACUCGUCAAACAGUAUUUUUAAAUUACUAUGAAUUGUUCUUUGAAAACUGGAUAAUAGACAUCUAGUUAUAUAAAUUUAUUUAUAUAACAAAUUAACAAUCAAAUUUCUGUUAUUUUUAAAAUUAACUUUUAAAACUGAAAUUUCACAGUUAUUUAUUUGUAAAUGAUUCUCAAAACAAAAAAACCUUUGGUUAUUUAAACCAAUUGAUUGAUCAAA